rnacentral:rRNA from 1 species
AACUGCAAGUCGAGCGAACGGACGAGAAGCUUGCUUCUCUGAUGUUAGCGGCGGACGGGUGAGUAACACGUGGAUAACCUACCUAUAAGACUGGGAUAACUUCGGGAAACCGGAGCUAAUACCGGAUAAUAUUUUGAACCGCAUGGUUCAAAAGUGAAAGACGGUCUUGCUGUCACUUAUAGAUGGAUCCGCGCUGCAUUAGCUAGUUGGUAAGGUAACGGCUUACCAAGGCAACGAUGCAUAGCCGACCUGAGAGGGUGAUCGGCCACACUGGAACUGAGACACGGUCCAGACUCCUACGGGAGGCAGCAGUAGGGAAUCUUCCGCAAUGGGCGAAAGCCUGACGGAGCAACGCCGCGUGAGUGAUGAAGGUCUUCGGAUCGUAAAACUCUGUUAUUAGGGAAGAACAUAUGUGUAAGUAACUGUGCACAUCUUGACGGUACCUAAUCAGAAAGCCACGGCUAACUACGUGCCAGCAGCCGCGGUAAUACGUAGGUGGCAAGCGUUAUCCGGAAUUAUUGGGCGUAAAGCGCGCGUAGGCGGUUUUUUAAGUCUGAUGUGAAAGCCCACGGCUCAACCGUGGAGGGUCAUUGGAAACUGGAAAACUUGAGUGCAGAAGAGGAAAGUGGAAUUCCAUGUGUAGCGGUGAAAUGCGCAGAGAUAUGGAGAACACCAUGGCGAAGGCGACUUUCUGGUCUGUAACUGACGCUGAUGUGCAAACGUGGGGCAACAGGAUUAAUACCCCUGGUAGUCCCCUA